rnacentral:rRNA from 1 species
UACGUAGGGUGCAAGCGUUUAAUCGGAAUUACUGGGCGUAAAGUGUGCGCAGGUGGCCUUGCAAGUCGAGUGUGAAAUCCCCGGGCUUAACUUGGGAAUUGCGCUCGAAACUACGAGGCUUGAGUGUGGCAGAGGGAGGUGGAAUUCCACGUGUAGCGGUGAAAUGCGUAGAGAUGUGGAGGAACACCAAUGGCGAAGGCAGCCUCCUGGGAUAACACUGACGCUCAUGACACGAAAGCGUGGGGAGCAAACAGG